rnacentral:rRNA from 1 species
UACGAAGGGGGCUAGCGUUGUUCGGAAUUACUGGGCGUAAAGCGCACGUAGGCGGCUAUUCAAGUCAGAGGUGAAAGCCCGGGGCUCAACCCCGGAACUGCCUUUGAAACUAGGUAGUUAGAAUCUUGGAGAGGUCAGUGGAAUUCCGAGUGUAGAGGUGAAAUUCGUAGAUAUUCGGAAGAACACCAGUGGCGAAGGCGACUGACUGGACAAGUAUUGACGCUGAGGUGCGAAAGCGUGGGGAGCAAACAGG